UACGUAGGGUGCGAGCGUUGUCCGGAAUUAUUGGGCGUAAAGGGCUCGUAGGCGGUUUGUCACGUCGGGAGUGAAAACUCGGGGCUCAACCCCGAGCCUGCUUCCGAUACGGGCAGACUGGAGUACUGCAGGGGGAGACUGGAAUUCCUGGUGUAGCGGUGGAAUGCGCAGAUAUCAGGAGGAACACCGGUGGCGAAGGCGGGUCUCUGGGCAGUAACUGACGCUGAGGAGCGAAAGCGUGGGGAGCGAACAGG
rnacentral:rRNA from 1 species